rnacentral:rRNA from 1 species
UACGUAGGGUGCAGGCGUUAAUCGGAAUUAUUGGGCGUAAAGCGCACGUAGGCGGUUUGUUAUGUCGGAUGUGAAAGCCCUUGGCUCAACUGAGGAAGUGCAUCCGAAACUGGCAAGCUAGAGUAUGUAAGAGGGUCGCGGAAUUCCCGGUGUAGAGGUGAAAUUCGUAGAUAUCGGAAGGAACGCCGGUGGCGAAAGCGGCGCGCUGGACCUCUUCUGACGCUGAGGCGCGAAAGCUAGGGGAGCAAACGGG